rnacentral:RNase_MRP_RNA from 1 species
CCGAUGCUUACGUAAUACCAGGACUUGCAACGCAGUGAAAACUGUGGGGAAAAUCCCCGAACGAUCGGAGGAGAGCUCCACCCUUCAUUGGGAAGCUCCCUGUCAUCGUCUGCUUGACAAAGACGGUUCGCCGGAGUCAGGACUGUGACAGGCAGCGUUCGUUCUAGCACAGUCAUGCAAGUGAUGGUCGGUAACGGCCGUUAACUCAACGGGGUUUACUCUCC